GGUGAACUCCGGUCAGCUGACACAUCCCGGCCAAUCUCCAGCAGACCCUCCCUCCCAGACUCUCCUACUUCCUGUACAGCAUCCCUGUACAGGAAGUAGGAGGGUCUGGGAGGGAGGGUCUGCUGGAGAUUGGCCGGGAUGUGUCAGCUGACCGG